rnacentral:rRNA from 1 species
AGCGAACGCUGGCGGCAGGCCUAACACAUGCAAGUCGAACGAAGUCUUCGGACUUAGUGGCGGACGGGUGAGUAACACGUGGGAACGUGCCUUUAGGUUCGGAAUAACUCAGGGAAACUUGUGCUAAUACCGAAUGUGCCCUUCGGGGGAAAGAUUUAUCGCCUUUAGAGCGGCCCGCGUCUGAUUAGCUAGUCGGUGAGGUAAAGGCUCACCAAGGCUACGAUCAGUAGCUGGUCUGAGAGGAUGACCAGCCACAUUGGGACUGAGACACGGCCCAAACUCCUACGGGAGGCAGCAGUGGGGAAUCUUGCGCAAUGGGCGAAAGCCUGACGCAGCCAUGCCGCGUGGAUGAUGAAGGUCUUAGGAUUGUAAAAUCCUUUCACCGGUGAAGAUAAUGACUGUAGCCGGAGAAGAAGCCCCGGCUAACUUCGUGCCAGCCGCCACAGUAAAAC